rnacentral:rRNA from 1 species
CGGACGGGUGAGUAACGCGUAAGAAUCUAACUUCAGGACGGGGACAACAGUUGGAAACGACUGCUAAUACCCGAUGUGCCGCAAGGUGAAACCUAAUUGGCCUGGAGAAGAGCUUGCGUCUGAUUAGCUAGUUGGUGGGGUAAGAGCCUACCAAGGCGACGAUCAGUAGCUGGUCUGAGAGGAUGAGCAGCCACACUGGGACUGAGACACGGCCCAGACUCCUACGGGAGGCAGCAGUGGGGAAUUUUCCGCAAUGGGCGAAAGCCUGACGGAGCAACGCCGCGUGAGGGAGGAAGGUCUUUGGAUUGUAAACCUCUUUUCUCAAGGAAGAAGUUCUGACGGUACUUGAGGAAUCAGCCUCGGCUAACUCCGUGCCAGCAGCCGCGGUAAUACGGGGGAGGCAAGCGUUAUCCGGAAUUAUUGGGCGUAAAGCGUCCGCAGGUGGUCAGCCAAGUCUGCCGUCAAAUCAGGUUGCUUAACGACCUAAAGGCGGUGGAAACUGGCAGACUAGAGAUCAGUAGGGGUAGCAGGAAUUCCCAGUGUAGCGGUGAAAUGCGUAGAGAUUGGGAAGAACAUCGGUGGCGAAAGCGUGCUACUGGGCUGUAUCUGACACUCAGGGACGAAAGCUAGGGGAGCGAAAGGGAUUAGAUACCCCUGUAGUC